UACGUAGGGUGCGAGCGUUAAUCGGAAUUACUGGGCGUAAAGCGUGCGCAGGCGGUUCGUUGUGUCUGCUGUGAAAUCCCCGGGCUCAACCUGGGAAUGGCCGUGGAAACUGGCGGGCUUGAGUGUGGCAGAGGGGGGUGGAAUUCCGCGUGUAGCAGUGAAAUGCGUAGAGAUGCGGAGGAACACCGAUGGCGAAGGCAACCCCCUGGGCUGACACUGACGCUCAGGCACGAAAGCGUGGGGAGCAAACAGG
rnacentral:rRNA from 1 species